AUGGCGUCCGGCAAGGUGCACACGCACAAGGCGUUCCUCCUCUGCAACUACGCGCUGCUGGGCGCGGCCUCCAGCUGCAUCUUCCUCACCCUCUCCCUCCGCCUCCUGCCGUCCCCGUGCGGCCUGCUCCUCGUCUUCCUCCACGCGCUCACCGCCGUCUUCUCCGCCGCGGGCUGCUCCGGCUCCUUCACGGCCGGCCCGGCCAACCCGGCGCCCUGGCACACCGCGCACACGGCGGGCGCCGCGCUCACCGCUAUCUUCCAGGGCGCCGUCGCGCUGCUCGCAUUCACCCGCACCGCCGACUUCCUCGCCGAGCUCCAGUCCUACGUCCGCGACGACGACGGCGCCGUCAUCCUCAAGAUGGUCGGCGGGCUCGGCACCGCCAUCUUCGUCCUCGAGUGGGCCGCCCUCGCGCUCGCCUUCUCCCUGCGCCUCGACGACGCCGAGGACGACGAUGGCGACGACGACCUCCGCCGCGCCAAGAACUGGGCCGACGCCUACCAUGUCUGA
rnacentral:rRNA from 1 species